UAUAUUUGCACCGCUUUAAUUAGCAACUACAUAACAAUCAUUGAAAUAAUAUUAGCAUG
rnacentral:ncRNA from 1 species